CGCGAUUUUAUUGGCUGUAGACACGCCCAGCAUCUUCUUGAGCUCCUCCCUGAGGUGGAUGGGCAGCUAGCUGCAGGUGGCACAGGAUGAUACACAUCUUUUCUCACGCCGCUUUGCCCUCUAGCUCCAAGAUCUCGGCUGCCAGAUGCAGCGACAGAGCUUCUUUGUACAUACAGCCCUGGACACACUUUCAGCAGCAACUCUUCUUGCGCGAGCUGGUGCAAGAACAGGAUUCAUCUGUGGCACAGGAACAGUUGGUGUCAACCGAUGGAGGCAGAGGAGAGACCAGAGCCGUGACUUCAACUGAAGUGGAGUAAAUAAAGAUGAUUGCAGAACUUGGAAGCUGACGAAAUCAGUUUUGGAAAAGAGCUGGCUUGGAGCGUGACAGAAGGGAGAGAUGGAAAGAAUGCUGGGAGUCCAACUCAAGACUGAUGUGUGCUUGGCAGGCAGUCUACCCCAGUCUCAGUCCUCUAGCCUUUUGGCCUUUUUUCCUUUUUGGAGACAGGAUUGCAUCAUAGGGCAGCCUGGCCUCCUACACAGUCCUGCCUCAGUCUCUGGAGUGCUGGGAUUGUAGGCCUAUACCACCGCGCCUUUCUACAAUACAAACAGGAAAGGAAGAGGGGCUUCUUUGGAAAGGAGUAAAAGGACCAUGGAAGAGAUAAGAAGAUAAUGUUGUCAGAAAUUAUGCUGCUUGUGAAGAGGUAAACUGAACCCUUUUGAUUCUGUGAGGUUAUUAAAGAAUAUAAUUUUCAAAUCACGGUAAAAUCUUGAUUCAGAAACACAUGAGGAUAAUCAUUGUUUCCAUGGAAACCUUGGGAGACAGUUGAAAGCCUGGUCCCUGUUGCCUGGAGCAUUAGCCCAGCAUGGCUGCAAAGUUGGUCCUUUCCUGUUACCAUCUCCUGAGUACUGAACUACACGUAUGCGUGAACCUGCCCAUCUCUGCCUCUGUUAACAGCUGCCGUUGUCUCUUCACGAUAUUGUGGCUGACCUAGGUUGGAAGGAACAGAGCCAGUUGGCCAUGGACUGAAACUUUUGGAACUGAUUCUGAGGAGUUAAUGUUUCCAUGAAUAUCUCAGAAGGAGAUGUGGACAAAGGAACACUUGUCUCACUCUCGUAGGUUGGACUACAGUGAUCAUUGAGUAGGAGCUUCAUCUUUAAAACUGGGGUGUGCUCUUAUGCAAUCUUCUUUCCCUGCCCAGAACUGGAUCUGUGAAAAGCUGAAUCAUGAAUGAAAACUCAAUGAGUGUGCGGACUGGAACCUGAAUUACUCUCUGGAGAGAACGAAAGGAGUGGUGCCCAAGAAGAUGGAGAGGGAAGUUAUGAAAUGCUGUGACCAAAUGACAAAUGCUGAUGUUUUGGGAGAUUUUGUUUCCCAUAGGAAAUAGAGUGAAUGCGAUACAUUUCUUUUGUGAGGGAUUCGUCUUUUCGCUUGUUACAGGUUACUCCUUUUUUCGAGAUUUCUAUUUACCUAAUUGAGAAAGAAACCAGAACAAGGUUAUCACUGAAUUAGAGACUUAAGGACAAGGUAUAGAACUGAUAAAUUAGUAAUUAACUGAUUAAAAAAGUACGAUUUAUAUCCAAUAGACAGAAAGGCUCCAGACAUCCUUAGUGCUGUCUUAGCACUAGGUUAGUCUACCUAAUACUUGUCAUUCUGAAAUGUAUGGUGGAACAUCCAACCGGCAAGAGCUACUUCAGGGAAGGACUAUAAUUUUUGUCACAGGACUAUAAUUUUAACACAGCGAAGCUCCCUGUACACUUUCAUUAUAGAUAUUUCUCUUCUGGUGACUCUGAAUGCUCUUCCUACUUUCAGCUCACUUGGCAUGUUGAACUCAAAUUUUAUCAUCUCAUGAAUUAGUCCAAUACCUGAAGGAGCAAGAGAAACAGCACCCGGUUGACAAGAAUAUGACCUGUUGAUUGAACACCAUUAAAAAAUAAUUUGAUUCAGUUGGACUGGGCUUUUUUUUUCCCUCAGUGAAAGUAACAUGAUUAACAUUUUGAAAGUUGUGAACAUGCAUACUUCUAUAAGCCACAAAAUAAUUACUUAUAAAAAUCUGAGUAUGGAUACUGCAUAAUUUCAGAACAGAAUACCCAUCAUAUUGUAUAUAUCUUGAAUUCAAGGUUUGAAAAUUAUAUGUCUAUGUCAUCUAAUAUGUACUUCUGCAUUUUAUCUAGAUCAUACCAUAUUACUGUACAGUUUGGACUUUCCCAUUUUUUAAUAUAAAAUGUAACAUGCAUUGUAGAUUAAUACUUAUAUAUCUUGUUUCUUUAAAAUUAAUUUCUAACAAUUAUUUUCUUUAUUUGAAUACUUGGGGUAUCAUAAAGGUGCUGUUGAGGUAUUUUCAAUAUACUUGUACAACUUCCUGCCUGUAGUUAAUAAACGUGGAUAUUUCAUUAAACAAUUGAAAUGCAUCAUUUACUCUUUGUAA
rnacentral:lncRNA from 1 species